GCAUAGCAUAACAUAGCGUAAUUGCACUAUGUGGAGGUUGUAAGGAACAAGAGCAAUGCCGUUAGGGUUCCUCUUUUUCCUCUACAUUUUCGUGAUGCUGUUACUACUAUUCACAUAUCUCCGUGAUGCGAUUCCAUCACAAUUGACAGCGUAGCAGACUAGCUGUCCCAUGAGUAGAACGGUGGCAGAAGAAAAACUAGGAAUGAAGUCAAGAAUCAACAAUUCAAAUGCUUGAAUUUACACAACAAAGUGAAGAUAACUGAGAUGUGUGAUUUCAAAGUCCAUACGAAACAUCUCAAUGCAUCUCAGGUGUUGCCAGCUGCAUAGCUCAGUUAUAGAAGCCAAACGCCAGAUAAACGGCGAGGUAGACAACGGUGGUUGUUGAUUAAUAGCUAACAGGGUGCAAGUCUCAACUGUUAGAGAGGAUGUGGACUCAUUAGAAACUUGAGAUCAAUGUUGGCAGGCUAGUCAAAAAGUUUGUCAUCUUUGCAUUAAUGGUUUUCGCGUGUUGAUUACUAUUUCGUUUCUGUUUUAUAUAUCUGUUGUAGUUCAAUUUAAUUACCUUUGUUAAUGAUCUGAUAUAGGUCACAACAAUGAUAACAAUCUUUCUGAGAUUAACUGGUUAUUUGAUAAUAAUCAAGUAGAUUAUGUAUGAAGCACUGUGUUUUUCGCUGUUGAAGGUUUAACGGAGUUUAGUAUUUUUCUUUAUGAGCAUAUAGUGAAUUAAUACUAUAAUGCUUACUGCAUCAUCUUAUGUCCUCGUUUUGAUUAUCUUGGAUUGGACUUCCACAAGAAGAUAGACUUGCUGCCACUUGUAGCAUCCAAUCUCAAUUAGAUAUGUAGAUGCAUAUAUAAGAAGAAAUAAUACAUAAGACUCAGCCAUCCAGAUCGGAGCUCUUGAGAUCUGCACUUGCUGCUGUUUUGUUGAGGAUGUCCGAUUCAGCAAUCACCUUGAAGGAAACGACAAACCCAAGCACAAAGGACAAAGGCCUCACUUCCACUUCCAUUACUCGUAAUAAAGUUCAUAGGCCACUAAUGUUAAAAGUAAUGACAAAACUUUAUUCAUUUUUACGUUUAUAACUUUGUAUGCACAAAAUAAUAUAACUUCGUAUUAAUUCAUUAA